AUCGGAUGGUUACGAUUCGAGCCGAUUACGAUCGGAUAGUCCAGAAGGAUUCUAGGAUUUGAUUUGAGCCUGAUAUCUAAGUAAAAUACUAUUUUAGUGAUUUUGAAGUCUAUAUAGCUCCGAUUGAUGAGCCGUUUAUUACGUUGGAUAGUUGGUGAUAUUUUAAUCAUGUAAAAAAACUUUAAAAGAGAUUUUAGAGAGCUUUUAUGAUGAUUUUGAGUU
rnacentral:lncRNA from 1 species